AACUCACAACCCAACCAUUUAGAGUCAGGAGGUUGAUGAUCCCAUGACACUUUCAACUGAAUUGCGUUCAAACCAGAUGUAGGGUCCGAAUUAAGCAAAAACAGAGAACCAUUAUCCAGCAGAACGGCACACUCUUCUAGUAAAUGUGGACUCCAACAAGCAGUGACAACAGUUGAAGUUUCAAAGCUUUUAGAACCGAUAUAGACCAACGAAGUAGAAGAAGGCUGCUUUAUACCAAACCAGUGCACAGAGUUGGUACAGUAGGCCAACAAAUUCCCAAUAAUGGUAUUGUCAUCAUCAUUAUCACAAUCAGAAACUGGGUUGACAAGAAUACCUCUAACCUGCUGAUUGAGAGGCGGAGAGGCAGUGAAAAUGUCAUCAAAGGAAGUGUC
rnacentral:lncRNA from 1 species